rnacentral:lncRNA from 1 species
UGCUCUACAGAAAGAUAUUAGCUACAGUUUUCAGCUUUCAUAUUUCAGAUUAAGAGUGAGUCCUUUCUACACUUAGAUAGUAUGAUUUAAAGAGAGAAUACAAGUACAACUUUUAGAACUAAAUGUUAUGACUCACUAGAUUUAUAAAGUAUGACUUGCUUCUUAUUAUUAAAGAUUUCAGUAUGUGAGUCAUUUUCAUUUAGCAUGCUUUGUUUUACAAAUUAUGAUGAUGAGA